UGUACUUGUGGCCUAGUGGUCAUGGCAUCUGCCCGGUAAGUGGAAGGCCGUGGGUUCGAUUCCCAUCCCUUGACAC
rnacentral:tRNA from 1 species